rnacentral:rRNA from 1 species
CUGAGAAACCCAAAAGAUCGAAUGGGGAGAUUCAUCGUCAACGAGGCUGGCCUCGGGGCGGUACGUGAUGUUGACGGUUUCGGCCGUCUGGCACGCGUCUGUCUCGUAACGCUUGGUCGCGUCGGCGUGCACUUCUCCCCUAGUAGAACGUCGCGACCCGUUGAGUGUCGGUCUAAGGCCUCGGUGGUUGUCUGUUCUCUUCCUUCACGGGAAGGGUCAGGCCCCGGGAUGCCCGGCCGGCUGCUCGGCGGUACACGCACGGUACAGGGUCGCAGUUAUCGACUGCGUCGGACCCGUCGCAAGCGCGGUUAGUUCUCGGACGUGCGGACCAAGUGCCGUCGCUGAGCCUGACCUGCUGUUGGCUGGCGGUGUUCUCUGACUGGCCCGCCACUUUUAUUAGUGAUUACCGGUCGGCGACGCUACUGCUUUGGGUACUUUCAGGACCCGUCUUGAAACACGGACCAAGGAGUCUAACAUGUGCGCGAGUCAUUGGGACAUGAAUGCCUAAAGGCGCAAUGAAAGUGAAGGUAGGCCUUGCGUCGACCGAGGGAGGAUGGGUCGCGUCUCGAUGCGACCCCGCACUCCCGGGGCGUCUCGUUCUCAUUGCGAGAUGAGGCGCAC